rnacentral:tRNA from 1 species
GCCUGGGUGGCGAAAUGGCAGACGCAACAGACUUAAAAUCUGUCGGUAUAUUACCAUACGGGUUCGAGUCCCGUCCCAGGCA